UACAGAGGUGGCAAGCGUUGUUCGGAAUCACUGGGCUUAAAGGGCGCGUAGGUGGUCGGCAGGGUGUCCUGUGAAAUCCCUCGGCUUAACCGAGGAACUGCGGGGCAAACCGGCUGACUUGAGGCGGGUAGGGGCCGAUGGAACUCUGGGUGGAGCGGUGAAAUGCGUAGAUAUCCAGGGGAACGCCAAUGGCGAAAGCAGUCGGCUGGGCCCGUCCUGACACUGAGGCGCGAAAGCCAGGGGAG
rnacentral:rRNA from 1 species